AACAUCCGCCUCGCCUUGGGUGCGCGCCUUCCUGCCGGAAUGCGCGUUAAACGGGAAACCGGUGACGCGGGCGGAUCGAACGAUCCGGCCGCCAGUCCGGUGCAGCCCCCGCUGCUGUAAGCCAGACGACCCUGCCACCAGCCACUGUGAAUCUCACGGGAAGGCGCAGGAGAGGAUGACGGCGAGCCAGAAUACCGGCCCGAUGGCAGAUGUCAGC
rnacentral:ncRNA from 1 species